rnacentral:rRNA from 1 species
UACCAGCUCUCCGAGUGGUAGGGACGAUUAUUGGGCUUAAAGCGUUCGUAGCCGGCCUGGCAAGUCUCUCGUCAAAUCCAGCGACCCAAUCGCUGGGCCGCGGGAGAUACUGCUAGGCUUGGGAGCGGGAGAGGUCGACGGUAUUCCCGGGGUAGGAGUGAAAUCCUGUAAUCCCGGGAGGACCACCAGUGGCGAAGGCUGUCGACUAGAACGCGUCCGACGGUGAGGGACGAAAGCUGGGGGAGCGAACCGGAUUAGAUACCCGGGUAGUCCCAGCUGUAAACGAUGCGGGCUAGGUGUCGGUGUGGCUACGAGCCACUCCGGUGCCGCAGGGAAGCUCUUAAGCCCGCCGCCUGGGAAGUACGGUCGUAAGGCUGAAACUUAA